CCCCUGCCCGGCCCGGCCCGGCCCGGCCCGGCCCCUCCCGGGACCCGGGAGCCACAGGGACCCUUCCCGGGUUUCUAAAGGGUCUGAAGGGCGAGAGGAUGGGCGGCGGGUGGGGUGUGGCAAGAGAAAAAGGGAGGAUCCGCCGGAGAGGUUGCCCGGGGCACGGUGUGGGUGUCUGCAACGGGGUCAAGUGUGCUGGGGCGCCGCGCGUCUGCGCCGGAAGAGCAAGCGCGUAAAGCGAGCUGGAGCUUCCAGCCAAACACAACCCAGAGUCCCCGUCUCCACCCCCACCCCAGCUAAUGAUGGCUGCACCCCCAAGCUGGAACCUGCCUCUGCAAAAUCAGCCCUCAGCCUCUCAGCUUCAGGGUAUUUUUUGUUAAGUAAGCUCCACACCCAGCGUGAGGCUUGAACGCAUGACCCUGAGAUCAAGAGUCACAAGCUCUACCAAAGGAGCCAGCCAGCUGCCCCUCGAGGUUAGCAGAUGUGAUUCCUCCCCACUUCCCCCACUCCAGCCCAGUCUCUAAGCCUUCAGACUAAGUGGGGUUCCACGCAGAGAAGUGUUUACUUAUUUUUGAGAGAGAGAGCGGGGAAGGAGCAGAGAGAGGGGUACAGAGGAUCUGAAGCAAGCACUGUGCUGAUAGCAGAAAGCCUGAUGCAGGGCUUGAACUCAUGAAUUGAACCGUGAGAUCAUGACCUGAGCCGACGUUGGACGCUUAACCGACUGAACCACCCAGGCUCCCUGGUUCCUUACCAUCUUGACAUCCUGUCCUCAUACUCCCUCGGGACGCCUUCCCUCUGCCCAGUCCGGGCCCUUCAGACGAACAUAGAUGAGGGAAUGCUGUCUCUUCCAGGGUUUGCUGCAAGAGACACCCCCCGCCUCACUGUCAGGAGCUAAGCAAGAAACAAGCAGGAGGUGGGUAUAGACGGAGGGAUCAGGCAGUGCACAGAAGAAAUCUGAAGGUUAAAAGCAUAUUCGGACAGGUAAAUGAGCCCCUAAAAAAAGAGUGAGGGCCAGAGGGGCAGGAGCUUGGAAGAAGAGGGUGGAGGCUGGACGUUAACUGGGCUGCCCUACCUUUAGGUACUGCAGACGUGCCUCCAAUUCAGCCUUCCGGAUUGACGUCCCAUACAGAGUUUCCAGCCUGAGGAGGGAGAGUGAAUUAAAGGCUAAGUGAGCCCAUAGGGUGCGGACACACUGAGAGAAGCUGGGCUCAGGAGCCCUCAGGAUGGCAGCGUCCAGACAUACCUGAGAACAUUGCCAGACGCCUUAAUGAUGUCAACAAUCUCUCGAUGCCGGAUACCUUCCACGUUCAGGCCAUUAACGCUGGCGAUGGUGUCCCCUGCCAGGCAGAGAGGGGGUGAGCUUGUGUUCCACGGGGCAGGAUGGAAGGAUUGCAGCCCCCUACCCUAGCCAGGAAGGGUAGGGGUAAUACACAGAACGCUCCUGAAUUGCCUCCUUCCACUCCUGAUGGCUGUGUGGAAACCUUGUCCUGGCCCAGCAACCCCAGCAUAGGGCCCUCAUAGACCCAACACCUCCACUCCCCCCUCAGGAAACUGUCCCCAAAGGCUGAGCCCUCUCAGCAACCCUGGGUUGCCUGCCCCCAGAGUUGGUUGUUUCUGUCUGGCCCACAGGCUAUCAUGAGACCCAGCCGAGACAGGAAGGGGUCAGGGUGAGCAGCACCACGCUGAGAGCUAACAGUGGCCGCAGGCAUGAGAGGCCUCAGCUUCUGACACCCUGUGCCGCUGCGGAACCUUCUGACUUCAGACAGGGCAAGCCACAUUCUCUACGGGUCCAUUUCCCGUCUAUAAAAAGGGCGUGUGAUCCCUACUGUGGCUACUUCAGGGAUCAGGAGGGAGAGUGAAUAUGAAACUAUUUUGCAAAGUUGCAACAUACCACUUGGCUACCGGGGGCUGCUGGUAAGUGGGCAAGGAGGUGAGGGCUUAGGGAAGAAAGUGGUGCUAGAAGGGGGCUUAGCUCUUGCAUUCUCAAUCCCCUUCCUGGGGCCUGGGGACUCUAGAUUUGGCUAAUCCCAAGGGCCCCCAGUGGAGGCAUCAUUUCCUUGUUAGAGGACGUCACGCAGGUACCCCAGAGUUGGGCCGGGUCGGCACAGGAGAGGCCCUGAUGUCCAGUAUCUGAGCAGAUUUAAGGGAAUGUCUCCCCCUCCCCGGCUCCUGCACGGGCUGGGUCGCCAGACGGCCAGGAGACAAAACAGCAGCAGCGACAUCUGCCAUUUACCAGGUCCUGGCUCUGUGCCUAGGGAACCCCUAGGCAUGUUAGUGCCCCCAUUUCGCAGAUGGGACUGCUCCAUGUCACACAGUCAAUGGCAAGUUUGCCUGGAUCCCAAGCCCGCACUCUAUCCAUUCUUCUUGGCCUUCUCAAAACAGGAGGAGGAAAGGAAAUGGGUUUCAGAAGCAAUUUCUCACCCCCUCUGCUUGGGAGCAAGGUCCUACCCUCUCCCCAGGGCCCUGUAUCCCAGGCUCGGGCCUCACCUGGUGUGAGCCCAGCCAGCUGGGCAGGGCUGGAGUCAUGAACCCGGCAGACAAAGGUCACCAUCUCCACCCGCUGCUCCUCCCGGUGGUGAAGGCCGUAAGUCUGUAACAGACAAGGGGCCCAUCAGCCAGGGGUGUGGCAGGGCCCGGCCAUCUGUCAGAGUGGCCUUCCAACCCUGCGCUCCCUCUGUGCCCAGCUUCUCCCACCUGGAUCUCAAAGCCGAAGGUCUGGUUCUCCUCCUUCUCCAAAGUCAGCACUUUCCUGCAAAGGGACACAGGGGCCAUCUCAUCAAGACUGUCAGGACUAAGAGGAGCUUGGCUGUCCCACAGCGUGGUCUUCCGCUGACGCUGGAGGUCUGCUCCAGAACAUCCAGGCAGGGCUCACCGUCUCCAGCGCCAAUUCAACUCUCCUCG